UACAUGCAGUCGAGCGGACCGACGGGAGCUUGCUCCCUUAGGUCAGCGGCGGACGGGUGAGUAACACGUGGGUAACCUGCCUGUAAGACUGGGAUAACUCCGGGAAACCGGGGCUAAUACCGGAUGCUUGAUUGAACCGCAUGGUUCAAUCAUAAAAGGUGGCUUUUAGCUACCACUUACAGAUGGACCCGCGGCGCAUUAGCUAGUUGGUGAGGUAACGGCUCACCAAGGCGACGAUGCGUAGCCGACCUGAGAGGGUGAUCGGCCACACUGGGACUGAGACACGGGCCCAGACUCCUACGGGAGGCAGCAGUAGGGAAUCUUCCGCAAUGGACGAAAGUCUGACGGAGCAACGCCGCGUGAGUGAUGAAGGUUUUCGGAUCGUAAAACUCUGUUGUUAGGGAAGAACAAGUACCGUUCGAAUAGGGCGGUACCUUGACGGUACCUAACCAGAAAGCCACGGCUAACUACGUGCCAGCAGCCGCGGUAAUACGUAGGUGGCAAGCGUUGUCCGGAAUUAUUGGGCGUAAAGCGCGCGCAGGCGGUUUCUUAAGUCUGAUGUGAAAGCCCCCGGCUCAACCGGGGAGGGUCAUUGGAAACUGGGGAACUUGAGUGCAGAAGAGGAGAGUGGAAUUCCACGUGUAGCGGUGAAAUGCGUAGAGAUGUGGAGGAACACCAGUGGCGAAGGCGACUCUCUGGUCUGUAACUGACGCUGAGGCGCGAAAGCGUGGGGAGCGAACAGGAUUAGAUACCCUGGUAGUCCACGCCGUAAACGAUGAGUGCUAAGUGUUAGAGGGUUUCCGCCCUUUAGUGCUGCAGCAAACGCAUUAAGCACUCCGCCUGGGGAGUACGGUCGCAAGACUGAAACUCAAAGGAAUUGACGGGGGCCCGCACAAGCGGUGGAGCAUGUGGUUUAAUUCGAAGCAACGCGAAGAACCUUACCAGGUCUUGACAUCCUCUGACAACCCUAGAGAUAGGGCUUCCCCUUCGGGGGCAGAGUGACAGGUGGUGCAUGGUUGUCGUCAGCUCGUGUCGUGAGAUGUUGGGUUAAGUCCCGCAACGAGCGCAACCCUUGAUCUUAGUUGCCAGCAUUCAGUUGGGCACUCUAAGGUGACUGCCGGUGACAAACCGGAGGAAGGUGGGGAUGACGUCAAAUCAUCAUUGCCCCUUAUGACCUGGGCUACACACGUGCUACAAUGGGCAGAACAAAGGGCAGCGAAGCCGCGAGGCUAAGCCAAUCCCACAAAUCUGUUCUCAGUUCGGAUCGCAGUCUGCAACUCGACUGCGUGAAGCUGGAAUCGCUAGUAAUCGCGGAUCAGCAUGCCGCGGUGAAUACGUUCCCGGGCCUUGUACACACCGCCCGUCACACCACGAGAGUUUGUAACACCCGAAGUCGGUGAGGUAACCUUUGGAGCCAGCCGCCG
rnacentral:rRNA from 1 species